GAAAGAUUCCCCUAGUAACGGCGCGUGAAGCGGGAAGAGCUCAAGCUUAAAAUCUCUGCGCGAGUUUCGUGCGGCGAAUUGUAGUCUAUAGAUGCGUGGUCAGCGUUGGCGCUCGGGGCAAGUUCCUUGGAAGAGGACAGCAUGGAGGGUGAUACUCCCGUUCAUCUCUGAGUGGCUGGUGCGUACGACCCGUUUUCUUUGAGUCGCGUUGUUUGGGAAUGCAGCGCAAAGUAGGUGGUAAAUUCCAUCUAAAGCUAAAUAUUGGUGCGAGACCGAUAGCGAACAAGUACCGUGAGGGAAAGAUGAAAAGAACUUUGAAAAGAGAGUUAAAGAGUACCUGAAACUGCUGAAAGGGAACCGAAUCGUUUCCAGUGUCUAUAAUCCGCGGCAUAUUUCAUCGGCGAGUGUGUGCGUGCGCGUGCUUUGGCAGUGGCUUUUGUGGCUGCGCUGGGCGUGUGCUGUGCGUGUGUUUGCUGGUGCCCUGUGUUGCGGUGGGACGUCAAGGUCAGUUCGUGUGCUGCGGGAAAUGGCUGCCGAGGAGGUAGGGCUUACGCUCCGCGUUUGUCUGUUAUAUCUUGGUGGACGAGUCGUCGUGGUUGGGACUGAGGUGCCUACAACGUGCUUUUGAGUGAGUGUGCGUCUCUGUGCGCUUGCUGUGCGGAUAGCUUGCUAUGCGUGUGGCGUAGUGUUUGGAUGGAUGUGCGCUUUUGCUUGUUGCGCGUUCGGGACGUGACGAAAUGCAGCGAUCGACU
rnacentral:rRNA from 1 species